UGAUUUUACAAUGAUGAUAAAUUACUAAUCCCAGCUCUAUGACAAUGUUCAUUUGUUGGACAUUGAAUGAGUAUUCUUAGUUUUCAAUCUGAGCAAUUCA
rnacentral:snoRNA from 1 species